UCCGUAGGUGAACCUGCGGAAGGAUCAUUACAGUGUUCGCUGCCCUUCACGGGUAGCAAACCUUACCCUUGUGUAUUAUAUCUUUGUUGCUUUGGCACGCCGCCUUCGGGCACCGGCUCCGGCUGGGCCGCGCGUGUCAGAGGGCCUAAAACUCUGAAUGUUAGUGUCGUCUGAGUACUAUCUAAUAGUUAAAACUUUCAACAACGGAUCUCUUGGUUCUGGCAUCGAUGAAGAACGCAGCGAAAUGCGAUAAGUAAUGUGAAUUGCAGAAUUCAGUGAAUCAUCGAAUCUUUGAACGCACCUUGCGCUCCUUGGUAUUCCUUGGAGCAUGCCUGUUUGAGUAUCAUGAAAUCUUCAAAGUAAAUCUUUUGUUAACUCAAUUGGUUUCUACUUUGGUAUUGGAGGCCAUUGCAGCUUCACACCUGCUCCUCUUUGUUCAUUAGCUGGAUCUCAGUGUUAUGCUUGGUUCCACUCAGCGUGAUAAGUUAUCUAUCGCUGAGGACACUGUAAAAGGUGGCCAAGGUAAAUGCAGAUGAACCGCUUCUAAUAGUCCAUUGACUUGGACAAUAAAUUAAUUUUUAUGAUCUGAUCUCAAAUCAGGUAGGACUACCCGCUGAACUUAAGCAUAUCAAUAAGCGGAGGA
rnacentral:rRNA from 1 species